ACGAGAGGCCCAAACGUUAUUCGGAUUUACUGGGCUUAAAGAGUUCGUAGGCGGCACGGAAAGUGGGGUGUGAAAUCCCUCGGCUCAACCGAGGAACUGCGCUCCAAACUAUCGUGCUAGAGGGGGAUAGAGGUAAGCGGAACUGAUGGUGGAGCGGUGAAAUGCGUUGAUAUCAUCAGGAACACCGGAGGCGAAGGCGGCUUACUGGGUCCUUUCUGACGCUGAGGAACGAAAGCUAGGGGAGCAAACGGGAUUAGAUACCCCGGUAGUCCUAGCCGUAAACGGUGAGCACUGGACCGGAGCUCUGCACAGGGUUUCGGUCGUAGCGAAAGUGUUAAGUGCUCCGCCUGGGGAGUAUGGUCGCAAGGCUG
rnacentral:rRNA from 1 species